rnacentral:lncRNA from 1 species
GAGUUCGUUACCGGGGUCCGGAAUUCUCGUGGGAAAAGAAAUUUCGCCAUCGGGAUGAUCUUCACAGUGGACUCAGUCGAUAGCCUGAUCCUUCUUAUUAGCGACAGAAAAUGCUCGAGAAAAAGCCACAAGUCAGCGAUGCUCGGGCACUGGACGGGUUUGUACAGUGCAGUUUAAUAAUGGCUUCACAUUUUGCCACAAGGGCAGCAAUUUGCGGGGAGGGGUUAAGUCGAUCACAUCGGCCUCAGUGUUCAACUGGUACUUAUUUUAUCGACCACGAAAGGAUGAAAAGUAAAGUCGACCUCGGCGGAAUUUGAACCUAGACCGUAGCAGGGGGCGAAAUACCUAUUUCUUUACUAUCCACAAGGGGCUAAACAUAGAGAGGACAAACAAGGACAGACAAACGGAUUAAGUCGAUUACAUCGACCCCAGUGCGUAACUGGCACUUAAUUUAUCGACCCCGAACGGAUGAAAGGCAAAGUCGACCUCGGUGGAAUUUGAACUCAGAACGUAACGGCAGACGAAAUACCGCUAAGCAUUUCGUCCGGCGUGCUGGCGUUUCUGCCAGUACGGUUUAAUAAUAAUGAAUGACAAUAUAACAGCGACAACCACCACGACAACAACAAAAGCAACAACAACAACCUCAUAAAGCAGCAACAACAAUGACACCAGCAACAUAACGAUAAUAACAACAGUAACAUUAAUAACAAGAACAACACCCACAACGACAACAGCAAAAACAACAACGGCAGCUUCAACAGCAACAACAACAGGAGCAACUACAACAACAACAACAACAACAACAACAACAACAGUAGCAGCAGCCGCAAUAAUAGCAACAACUGUAAGAAAAUAGCAACAGCGGUUUUAGCAACAACUAUGCCGCCAUCACUACAAAGUAAUAACAACAACAACAAUAAAAAAAAAAACAAAUACAACAACAACAACAACAACAAUAACCGCUAUGCGAACCAUUAAAAGUAACACAGACGCCACCGCCGCCAGCAUUGCUAACAACAACAACAACAACAGCAACAACAGCAGCAAUAGCAGCAACAACAGCGCCACCAACGACAUUUAAUGGCUACGGCUUUGCCACAACUGCAAACAAGAGGAACAAUAACACGAACAACAAUGGCGACGACAGCAAAAUCAAAAAACAACAACAACAACAACUACUACUACUACUACUACUACUACUACUACUACUGCUGCUGUUGCUGCUGCUGUUGCUGCUGCUGCUGCUGCUGCUGCUGCUGCUGCUGCUGCAUUAGUAUCUGCAACAACAAUAAUCGAAGACGAUGAUAAAAGGUAUUUUACCGACAACGCCCAUAACAAGAGCAUUAGUUACGUUAUUAUGCAGUUUAUCACACAUAUAUAUAUGUGUGUGUGUUUGUGUGCUUAUGUGUGUUUAUGUGUGUGUGUGUAUGUGUUUGCAUAUAUAUACAUACAUAUAUACAUAUAUAUACAUUCAUAGAUAUACUUAUAUAUAUAUACAUUCAUAGAUAUAUAUACACACACAUAUAUAUAUAUAAAAUAUAUAUAUAUAUAUAUAUAUAUACAUACAAAUAUAUACAUACAAAUAUAUAUAUAUGAAUAUAUAUAUAUAUAUAUAUAUAUAUAUAUGUAUAUGUGUAUAUAUUAUAUAUAUAUAUAUAUAUAUAUAUAUAUAUAUAUAUAUAUAUAUAUAUAUAUAUAUAUAUAUAUAUAUAUAUAUAUAUAUAUAUAUAUAUAUAUAUAUAUAUAUAUAUAUAUGGGUAUAGCAGCAAAGCUACGAAGAUAUCAACAACAGAUUUUUAAUGUAAUGCAACUUUAUUAGUCGCCAUUUUAAGAUGGCGGUGAAAGUGCUUCAUGCCUAUUUAGGUGCGUGAGUAUUGGAGAUUCUGUGUGUGUGUGUGUGUGUGUGUGUGUGUGUGUGUGUGUGUGUACGUGUGUGUGUCUGUUGUGUGUGUGUGCAUGUGUAUUAUAUAGUAGUGCUAGAUAGAUAGAUAGAUAGAUAGAUAGAUAGAUAGAUAGAUAGAUAGAUAGAUAGAUAGAUAGAUAGAUAGAUAGAUAGACAGACAGACAGACAUAAGUGUAUGUGUGUCUACUUAUAGAUAUGUGUGAGCGUAAGUAUGUAUGUAUGUAUAUAUUUAUGUGUGUAUGUAUGUAUGUAUGUAUGUAUGUAUGUAUGUAUGUAUGUAUGUAUGUAUGUAUGUAUGUAUGUAUGUAUGUAUGUAUGUAGGGAGAAUUCACCCAAAAAAAAAACAAGAAGAUAGGUGGUGUAGAAAGUAAACAGAUGUAUUAGUAUAACGCUUGGGAAGUGAAAAAGUCUUUAACGUUUCGAGCCUACGCUCUUCUACAGAAAGAGACACAGAAAAAAAGAAGGAGAGAAGAAAAUAAAGAGAGAAACAAAAUGUGUGUAGUGGUUACCGAUCUAUAUGUAUGUAUGUAUGUAUGUAUGUAUGUAUGUAUGUAUGUAUGUAUGUAUGUAUGUAUGUAUGAACGUAUGCGUGCGUGUAUGUAUGUAUGUAUGUAUGUAUGUAUGUAUGUAUGUAUGUAUGUAUGUAUGUAUAUAUGUAUGUAUGUAUAUAUGUAUGUAUAUAUGUAUGUAUGUAUGUAUGUAGGUAGUUAGGUAGGUAGUUAGGUAGGUAUGUAUGUAUGUAUGUAUGUAUGUAUGUAUGUAUGUAUGUAUGUAUGUAUGUAUGUAUGUAUGUAUGAAAAAAUCGAAACUCGUUUUGAUGUUACCUGCACAUUUUUCUAUAUGUUCUUGACGUUUCGAGCCUACGCUCUUCGACAGAAAGGAAAGAGAGAGAGAGAGAGCGAAAAACGAAGAAAGAACGAAAAGAAAACGAAGAAAAAUGUGUUGGGAUUAACGGUCCAACAUGAUGGUUACGCAAAAACCAUACAUAUAGAAAAAGUAUUCUAUGUAUAUAGCCUAAGGGUCACGUUCAUUUGCGCACCUAUCAUCAAAAAUACAGAAGUUAGUACCCCUAAACUUUGGACUGAUGUAGCGUUUACAGUAAGUGCCUAGUAAACCAUUAGUGUAAUGUAGCAGCCCUGGUCUACGAAGCAGAGCUAGUAUACAACAACACUAACGAAAGGACGCAUAUACACAAAUAUAUAGUGGAGGCGCAAUGGCCCAGUGGUUAGGGCAGCGGACUCGCGGUCGGAGGAUCGCGGUUUCGAUUCCCAGACCGGGCGUUGUGUGUGUUUAUUGAGCGAAAACACCUAAAGCUCCACGAGGUUCCGGCAGGGGGUGGUAGCGACCCCUGUUGUACUCUUUCGCCUCAAUUUUCUCUCACUCCACUCUUACUUCCUGUUUCUGUUGUACCUGUAUUUCGAAGGGCCGGCCUUGUCACUCCCUGUGUCACGCUGAAUAUCCCUGAGAACUACGUUAAGGGUGCACGUGUCUGUGGAGUGCUCAGCCACUUACACGUUAAUUUCACGAGCAGGCUGUUCCGUUGAUUCGGAUCAACCGGAACCCUCAUCGUCGUAACCGACGGAGUGCUUCCACACAAAUAUAUCGAAUCAAUAAUCACUUUAAGGCGAGGUUGGAUAAUCAUAUAUUCCUCUUUUAACACCCAGGAAAACACAAUGUCAUAAUUUUAGCUAAUGUUAUGCGGUGAUUAAAACAGGAUCUAACGUCGCAUAAUAACAACUACAAGCUGCUGGAAAUAUGUAGGCUGUAUCUUAAUGGAAGUAAAAGAUGCAAACUUUGCUUUGCGGAGAAAAGAAUCUUUCUAACAACUCACAUGAGUUUUCUAAGCCCGAUAAACAAAAUUUUCAGAUAUUGUCAUCAUGAGCGCAAAGUCAGUUUGGUGCAUGGUCGUGUCCCUUUUUUAAGUAGCAGGAAGAUUAACACAGGGCCAAUAGAAUUCACCCAUGUCAUCAGGAAAAACUGAUAGUUCGUCUUUCUCAUUGUGCAUUAGUUCUCCAGCCCAGUAAAUUUUUUGUCACUAAAUUUUUCUACCUCGAAAUCAACUUAGAGUGAAUGUACAUCCAGCACUUGUGUAGGCUACGCACUAUGGUCUACAAAUUUGAAGAGUCGUUAAUAUUGUCUGGCAGACAUAUUCUACGCAAAACAUUCUGACCAGUAACAUGCCAUAAGCAGUGAUAUAUUUCUUGACGAUGUAUGUAUAUAUAUAUAUAUAUAUAUAUAUAUAUAUAUAUAUAUAUAUAUAUAUAUAUAUAUAUAUAUAUAUAUAUAUAUAUAUAUAUAUAUAUAUAUAUAUAUAUAUAUAUAUAUAUAUAUGCAUCUGUUUAUGUAUGCAUAUAUAUACAUACAUCUAUAUGCACAUAUAUAUAUAUACAUACACACAUGCAUACAUUCAUACUUACAUACACACAUACCAGUAUUUAUAUAGAUAGACAGAUAUUAAUAUAUAUAUACAUAUAUAUAUAUAUAUAUACAUAUAUAUAUAUACAUAUAUAUAUACAUAUAUAUAUAUACAUACAUAUGUAUGUGUGUGUAUACACAUAUGUAUAUGCACGUAUAUGUACAAAUAUAUAUACUUAUAUACGUCUAUAUGUAUAUACACGUGUGCGUGCAUAUAUAUAUACAUGACGAAUUUUAUAUAUACAUGCAUGUACAUGCAUUAUAUGUUUGUGUUUGUGAGCGCUCUGAAACGAAUGUGUGUAGAAUCAUUUUGUAUAGACUCAUAAAUUUCAGCACUUAAGCAUUAGCGUAUACGUGCAUACAUGUGUGUAUAUAUGUGUGUAGAUAUGUGUGUGUGUGUGUGUAUGUGUGUGUGUGUAUCACAGUAGAUGUUUUCCAGGCUUAUAUACAUGCCUCUAGUUUAUAAGCAACAAAUAUAUUCUCACAAGUUGCAUGGAAUGUUCUUUGAAAAUACAAUUUAGCGGGAGAAAAAAAAAUCUACCAAAAAUAUUGAGGUUUUUAAUAACCUCUCUCGCUUUCUCUCUCUCUCUCUCUCUCUCUCUCUCUCUCUCUCUCUCUCUCUCUCUCUCUCUCUCUCUCUCUUUUCAUAUGUGUGUGUGUGUGUGUGUGUGUUUACAUAUAU